ACCACACACCAAACAAAGCUGAAGCUUUGAGGAAGCCUCACGGCCGACUCACAAACCUAGACAACUCUCAACAACGGAUAUCUUGGCUCCCGCAACGAUGAAGAACGCAGCGAAAUGCGAUACUUAAUGUGAAUUGCAGAAUUCCGUGAAUCAUCGAGU
rnacentral:rRNA from 1 species